rnacentral:rRNA from 1 species
CCCGCAACGAGCGCAACCCUUGUCAUUAGUUGCUACGAAAGGGCACUCUAAUGAGACUGCCGGUGACAAACCGGAGGAAGGUGGGGAUGACGUCAAGUCCUCAUGGCCCUUAUAGGUGGGGCUACACACGUCAUACAAUGGCCGGUACAAAGGGUCGCAAACCCGCGAGGGGGAGCCAAUCCAUCAAAGCCGGUCGUAGUCCGGAUCGCAGUCUGCAACUCGACUGCGUGAAGUCGGAAUCGCUAGUAAUCGUGGAUCAGCAUGUCACGGUGAAUACGUUCCCGGGUCUUGUACACACCGCCCGUCACACCAUGGGAGCGGGUCUCGCCAGAAGUAGUUAGCCUAACCCGCAAGGGAGGGCGAUUACCACGGCGGGG